rnacentral:rRNA from 1 species
CCUCCCACCCGUGUUUAUUUUACCUUGUUGCUUCGGCGGGCCCGCCUUAACUGGCCGCCGGGGGGCUUACGCCCCCGGGCCCGCGCCCGCCGAAGACACCCUCGAACUCUGUCUGAAGAUUGUAGUCUGAGUGAAAAUAUAAAUUAUUUAAAACUUUCAACAACGGAUCUCUUGGUUCCGGCAUCGAUGAAGAACGCAGCGAAAUGCGAUACGUAAUGUGAAUUGCAAAUUCAGUGAAUCAUCGAGUCUUUGAACGCACAUUGCGCCCCCUGGUAUUCCGGGGGGCAUGCCUGUCCGAGCGUCAUUUCUGCCCUCAAGCACGGCUUGUGUGUUGGGCCCCGUCCUCCGAUCCCGGGGGACGGGCCCGAAAGGCAGCGGCGGCACCGCGUCCGGUCCUCGAGCGUAUGGGGCUUUGUCACCCGCUCUGUAGGCCCGGCCGGCGCUUGCCGAUCAACCCAAAUUUUUAUCCAGGUUGACCUCGGAUCAGGUAGGGAUACCCGCUGAACUUAAGCAUAUCAAUAAGCGGAGGAACCG